UUGUGUUUAGUUGACACACACUUUUCAGGAUCCUUGGAUGUCUCCAGCAAUUCUCCAAUGGCGGAACUUCAGGUGCACACAGGACAGCUAGUCCAACCAGAGUUAGAGUUGGCCAGGGAAGGAGGGCUCAGGGGGGGUUGUGCUGGGUUGUGCUGUGUUGUGUUGUUCUGUGGGUUGCCCAAAAACCAGCUUGCCAGUUCGGUUGUAGUUAACCUCGAGCAGUAGCCCAGAAGCUGGCCCAGCAACUUCUUGGCCACACUGGGUGUUUAGUAGUUGGCAGACGGCUAUGGAUGUGGAGUCAGACUUCCCAUGGAUCUUCAUUGCCAGUUCCCCAAAUGACCUUGAGCAAACCCUUUAACUCCAAGAGCCUGGCUUCCCAUACCCAGAUGGUCCUGGUGAUCUGGAGGGUACAUAACAAGUCUCUUACCCUUGGGCUGCCUGGUGAAGCCAUCCCAGACGGUAAAUAACAGAAGAAGUAGACAUUUCCAGAUUAUUGUGCUCUACAUAGAGGAUAGGGAAAAGGCCUGAAGACAAAUGACUGUGACAGUGGGGAGACUGGCCUGGGGAGGGCUGAGGUCUCUCCAUGCAAUAGCCUAAUGAGGUGAGUAGAAAUCAUGAAGUCUGCUUCAGCAUCCUGGAAAGAAGGCUGGGCCAGGACUGUGCUGGGGAGGGAUCCUCUCCCCAUUGUGUCCCCAAAAGGACAGGCACAGUAACAGUCCCUCCUUUCUCUCAGAGGCACAGAAAGGAGGGAGCCCAGAACUAUGGACCCUGUGGAAAAGCAUGUUGGCUACAUGGUUUCAGGUCCAUGCCCCACAGAAGCCAUGGCAACCCUGUACUGUGAUGUAUGCUAUCCCUAUUUCAUAGGACCAUGAAUGACUGGGACACUGCCACAGUCACCCAUGUAGCUAAUGACCUUUGGAACACUUUCUCCUGGCUCUGCCUUGGUUGUCUUUCCCCCUCACUGUGCUCCAAUCUGCAUCUCCUGAGCUUAUCCAAACUGGCUUGCAUUCCCUGGAAUGCUGAUGGGCAACAUUUCUGAAAGAAAACUUCAGCUUCCUGAUAUAUACUCAGGAGAAAUGAAAUCUACGUCUACAUAAAAACUUGUACAUGAAUGUUCACAACAGUGCUAUUUAGAAGAGCCACAUGGAAACAACCCAGACCCAUCCAUCAACUAGUGAACAGGGUUCAGCCUGACUCCUCUGGUUCCUGAGGUCUCAUGAUGGGAAGAGAAGCACAGAAAACAGCUAAUGGAAAAUAGUUUCCUCACACCUGCCUGUGACCUUGAUCAAAGCAGCUGAAGGAGAUAGAAGUAGUGGGCCAAUGUGUGGGGGCUCUUAAGAAGUACUGCCAGGAAACCGUAAUUCCCUUCAUGGUAGUUGAAGAAAUCUGAACAAAAGAACUUUAUCUGAAAUUAUUGUUGUUACAAGCUGUGUUAACUCUGAUAGCACACAGAUUAAAACAUAUAGCUGUUCUGUAUUAAGAG